AAUGAACGCUGGUGGCAGACCUAACACAUGCAAGUCGAACGGUUCUAAUAUUUAAACUUACGGUUUUUUAUAGAUAAGGUGGCAAAACGGGUGAGUAAAGCGAUGGGAAUCUACCUUAGGAAGUUUGGAAUAGCUAUUAGAAAUGAUAGAUAACUACCGAAAUACACCUUCGAGAGGGAAAGUUUGACUUCGGUCUUCCGCUUUUAGAAUUGAGCCCAGUGUUAAAUUAGUUAGUUGGUAGGGUAAUGGCCUACCUAAGAUGAUGAUUUAUAGCUGGUCUUAGAGGAUGAUCAGCCACACUGGAAUUGAGAUACGGUCCAGACUCCUACGGGGAGGCAGGCAGUGGGGAA
rnacentral:rRNA from 1 species